GGUAUUGACAGUUCAUGGGUCUGCGGAUGAAAUUAUUCCAGUGGAGGAUGCGUUAGAGUUUGAUGAAAUCAUACCGAACCACAAAUUGCAUAUCAUCGAAGGAGCCAAUCAUUGCUAUACAUCACACCAAGCUGAGUUAAUGCCUGUGAUCUUGCCAUUCAUAAAGGAAGGUCUGCAACACUGAGAAACAGAACUAAGACACCAGAUAGGUGCUUUGGAAUGCUACUAUUGUUGAAAUUCUGGGUUUAGGUGACCAUGGGAACAGUCUGUUACAAUCUAACUUGUGCAAAUGAAACUACAGGCAGGGUUUUUGCUGAAUUUGUCUGUGUAAUUCAGAAUUUGUUUCGCC
rnacentral:misc_RNA from 1 species